UACGGGGGGGGCAAGCGUUGUUCGGAAUUACUGGGCGUAAAGGGCUCGUAGGCGGCCAACUAAGUCGGAUGUGAAAUCCCCAGGCUUAACCUGGGAACUGCAUCCGAUACUGGAUGGCUUGAGUCCGGGAGAGGGAUGCAGAAUUCCAGGUGUAGCGGUGAAAUGCGUAGAUAUCUGGAGGAAUACCGGUGGCGAAGGCGGGUUGCUGGGCUGACACUGACGCUGAGGCGCGAAAGCGAGGGGAGCGAACGGG
rnacentral:rRNA from 1 species